rnacentral:rRNA from 1 species
GACGAAUGCUGGCUGCGUGCUUAACACAUGCAAGUCGAACGGUGAACCAGGGCUUGCCCUGGGGAUCAGUGGCGAACGGGCGAGUAACACGUGGGCAACCUGCCCCUCACUCUGGGAUAACUCCGGGAAACCGGGGCUAAUACCGGAUACGACCUCAUGCGACAUCUCGUGAGGUGGAAAGAACUUCGGUGAGGGAUGGGCCCGCGGCCUAUCAGCUAGUCGGUGGGGUAACGGCCCACCAAGGCGACGACGGGUAGCCGGCCUGAGAGGGCGACCGGCCACACUGGGACUGAGACACGGCCCAGACUCCUACGGGAGGGAGCAGUCGAGGAUCUUCGGCAAUGGGCGCAAGCCUGACCGAGCGACGCCGCGUGUGCGAUGAAGGCCUUCGGGUUGUAAGGCACUGUCGAGGGGGAGGAAGCCGCAAGGUUGACCUAUCCCUGGAGGAAGCACGGGCUAAGUUCGUGCCAGCAGCCGCCGUAACAC